rnacentral:pre_miRNA from 1 species
CAAAUACUCCUUCCGUCCGGAAAUACUUGUGAUCAAAAUGGAUAAAAGGAAAUGUAUCUAGACGUAUUUUAAUUUUAGAUACAUCUCUUUUUAUCCAUUUUAAUGACAAGUAUUUUCGGACGGAGAGAGUAGAAA